AAAAACCUUUUUUUGGAUUGUAUUUACACAAGGUACAUGCUGUAGACGUACCUCAACAGGAAGACUACCAGUUGCAGCCUUCUUGGGAGUAUUGUUCAACUUGGAAGAUCUUCUUGGAACAAAGUUUUUUUGUUUGGUGGAUUUCUUUACAGAUUUUCUCUGUACCUGUUCAGCUGCCUUCUCAACUCUUUUGUUCGCCUUCUCAACCCUUUUGUUCACCUUCUCAACAGUUUUGGUCACCCUCUCAACCUUCUCAGAUGGUGAAUCAGAUUUGUGGGAUGCUCGUGGGCCUUCUUCGUUUCGGUCCUGGGACUGUAGAGCAGCACGUAUCUCUUCACGGACAAAUACUUUUAAAUCUUCAAAUUUAUUAUCCAAAAGUUGUGUUUGCCUCUUGAAGAAACGCCUCAAUUCGCCCGCAUACUUAUCGAACGCUUCGUCUCCAACUUCACCAUCACCACCACUUGGUCCACCUUCACCAUCACCACCACUGGGUCCACCUUCACCAUCAGCACCACUGGGUCCACCUUCACCAUCACCACCACUUGGUCCACCUUCACCAUCACCACCACUGGGUCCACCUUCACCAUCAUCAGAGUGACUAAUUUUCCUUUUUUUGUUUUCAACAGGAUUUGCCACCCGUCUUUGCCUCUUCAAAAUAACUAUAUUAAACGGUUAAAUCAUGCAUUACUACUCUUAGAGGAACCUAAUUCUGAUAUAAGUUAUACGAUGAAAAGAUAUGGUUACCUCUCUCUCCAGUUGCUGAGGGCCGAACUUGCUUCUUAGGCGCAUCAUCGCCUCCAACCCACAUUUUCUCAUUCCACUCCUGCUCAGAUUUCAACAUCCUUAAAAUGUUAUCAACUCUUGGGUCCUCUUUUUCUUUCCUCCAUACAAAAGAUUUUGGGCAAUUACUGUCUGCUGGGUCCACAAUAUAUGUGAUAUCCACCUACAUAGACGAUCAUUGUUAAUUUUAGAGUGUAUGUACUUACAACAACAACUGCACAAACCUGUUCAGCAGACUCGCAUGCCAAUAUGGUGGAUGUCUUGAUUGGACGCAGUUUGGAAAGGUUUUUAAUAGUCCUCUCUGUAAAGACGGCGGUAUCUCCUUCAGAAGGUAGGAGACUAGCAAUAGACGGGAUAGUUUUGAAUGCAAGGAGUUGGAGUCCAAGUGGGAAGCCAUGGAGUACAUAAGAAUGUUGCUUGCAACCACUCCGGAGUUUUUUAACGUCGGUCUCUCCUUUGAAACUUGCGAUACGCUCCAAAGUAAGCAGAAAUGAUGUCCUUCCCCAGGGAUAUUUACAGGAGAAAUCAAGGUUCUUCGUCAGCUCAACUGUCAUCUCAUUUGGUCUCAAAGGAGGAGACUUGUCACAUAUUAGCACCCCAUCCACAAUGAUAAUUAAGGCGAGAGCUAAUUUCUUCCAUGCAGGCAUGUCAGUUUCAGAAAUCAAUCUAUCCCUUAAUUCUUCAACUGUUGGAUUAGCUUUAUCAUCUCCAAACAGAGUAGCCCAAACUGUAUUUUCACCUUCCUCCCGCUGCAUAACACUUUCUACAUCCUUAUCUUUAGGAUAGGUUCCACAUUCCAAACCAGUUAUAAGUGCCCAUUCUCUUAAUCCGAGCCUAAUAGGAUGACCAGCGAAUACCAUCCACAUCUCAUAACGUUUCUUUGUAACUAACUAACGGCAUAUUAAUCCAAGAACAAGUUUACCAGAAAAGGAUGCCUUGUUAGUAGGGAUCCUAAAGAGGUCACCAAAUGGAGAAUCUAGAAGGAACGUCAUUUCUGGUGUGUCCUUAAGCGCAGCUGCUAUUUGACCAAUGUACUCCGGUCUGGAGUACGCAUUUAUCUUUGCCUUGCUAGGGUAGUGAUCGAGUGCAAACAACCUUUGUGGUAAUUCACCCGGAUCAUUAGAAGUACUUCCUGAAAGUUGAACAAGACGAAGAAGUUCUUAACACGUACACUAUAUCCAAAUACCAACUAAACAUAAACUCGAUAUUCAUAUACACGUACACCGAAACCUUUUAUACUCAAUCAACUGUUUUUGGCGGAAAAAACCAAAAACCCCUUUGUCAAUUGAAAAUUUCUGAGUUGAAAUCUCUAAAAUUAACCUAGAUUUUGAAUCAAAUCAUUCUCCAAACGAAGUUAGGGAAAACUAACCCAGAUUUGUCGUCGCCGCCGAUGCCUCAUCAAUAUCCGAAACUCCUCGCCGCCGACUACUCUUCCUCGUCGCCGCCAUUAGAGCUCUUCUCUGAACAGUUAAUCGAUAAACCCAAAAAUCGUAUUAUUGUUCCACACUUUAACACGAACCCUAUCGAAAUUUUCUCCACUUUAGCAAUGACUCGAACUCGAACAGAGCCUCAAUCGGAAUUGUGUUUCAGUUUCGUCGGAAUUUCUCUGGUUCUUCGAAAUCAUUCUUCGUUUCGUCGGAACUGUUCUGCUUUCUCGAAGAAGACAGUUUUUUUUAUUUAUUUUAAGUUUUAAAAUUAAUAAUUUUAAAUAUUUAAAUUAUUUUGAAACCAGAAAACGGUUAAGGAAACUGAACCGGCUCCACGAAACUAAACCGCCUCCGUCAGUUUUUCGUUCCAGAGCAAAUUCGGCCAUUUUAGUUCUAAUGGCUAAAAUGUGGUUGACCCAGCCCACUUUGCCUUUUUGUGAAAGAAAAAGUCAGGUGUCCAACGUGAAAAUUACUUUAAUAUUUAUGUGGUUAAUUGGUCGAUAGUACAAAUUCGCAGAGUGGUUAAUUAAGUACAUUUAUCAUUUCAAUGGAUUGUGAGUUCGAAUAAGGAAAAAUUGCUGUCAUCUCUCAUACACUGUUAAGAUGCUUUGC
rnacentral:sRNA from 1 species